GGAGAGGUCGCAUAGUGGUCUAGUGCGCUGGUUUCGAAAACCAGUAGGGGCGCAAGCCUCUCGAGGGUUCGACUCCCUCCCUCUCCGCCA
rnacentral:tRNA from 1 species